AAGCCAGCAAGAGCGGGACCACAAGCCAUUCCGAGAGCACUGGCACUAACAAAACCAGCUGAUGCCUGCAUGCGAAUUCUAAGUGGCACACAAUCACUGAUGUAUCGCCGGUUAACAGCUCUAGCAGAACCAAAUCCACAGAAUAAACGGCCGACUAAAAGAAGUGUUAUUGACUUAUAAUCAAGUGCCAUUGCAUACAUGGAAUUUCCCACAAGAAGAACAAUACUGCUGAAUACUAGAGGUCUAAAGUACGAUUUAUUUGACCAAGCACUGAAAUACACUGAAGAAAACACCUGCGCAACAGCCAUUGCCCCAAUCACAACACC
rnacentral:misc_RNA from 1 species